GAACCACACACAUAUCUGUUUGACAGAUGUGCGUAUGUGCGGUGAUGAGUCAGGCCGUGUGAGCCGGCCACUGCACAAAUUGACCAAUUGAAGAAAAAAAAAAUCGAAAACGGACGAACAGAAACGGACGGUUUUUCUGCUUCCUCUGACCUCGGAAUGAAAACCAUCUGGACAGCUGUAUACGUGUAUGAGUCACCCCCCACUUCCCCUUUCGGGAGGGACAUUCCCCCCUUUUGGGCUUUCUGACGUCACACUGAAACAUGUGAGAAUAACUACUCUUGAAAUAGAAGACGUGUAUGCAAGAGGACAGAACUGAAAGUGAAAAAAAGAAUUUCCAAGGACACUUACGGUUCAUGUCGAACAAGGACGCUCUGCCAAACAAUGCGAAACGAUUUCAUUUUUAAAUCGUCCCUUACAACCUGCAUCCAAUUUCAAAUUGGGGAGGAUCUGCUUUCGAUCUGGGAAUUUUCAAAAGCUCUUUUGUUCGCCACGAACAAAUUUUCCUGCUUUGCGAUUUCCCUUGAUAGUUUAGUGAACCACAUCCUUGAUAACCUUUACUUACUGCUGUAUCAUGAUACACAAAAAUAUUAUGUGAGGAACUCUAAUUGAACGGAUUUUCCUUCAACUCAUUGCCAUUUCCGUUUCCAGAUUGGAAAAAAAAAGAACUUUUUUUUAUUCCAGGCAAAGUCCCUGAGAGUUUAAAAAACGUAUAACUGGUUUUUCUUUCGUGCCUUUUGAAUGGUUUCCUAAUUUUGCUCGCAAGCAGCAAGGAAACCUUGUGAUUUACAUCAAUGACUCGGACUUGAUGCAAUCUCCUUAAGGGCUGAUUUAUGCUAUUUCCUAUUUGUCGUUUUACAGUUAACCGAAACGAACUAACGUCGUUUCAUCACUUUUUUUUUUGUCCUUUUGUGAUGACUAAAAGAAGUUCUUUGUCUACUGGGAAUAUCCAUUUCAACAGUGAUGACUUCUUUCAGUCUCGGUCGAAUUGAUUUGACUCAUCAUAAUGCUGAAAUGAAAAUUGUCACAAUAUACGAAAUAAUGACGUGUUCAUCGUUAUCAGUUCGAUUACCACGUAAAAUCAACAAGUUGCCUCAAUGUUUAUCUCCGCCCACUUACAAGCCCUCUACAGGAAAACUAUUGAUGACGUCACAACCUUCAAUCUUGUCUUAUCGAUCCAGAUUUCACUGAUUAUAGAUCCAAUGGUCGACUAGAAAACAAGACAGCGUAUACAAAUAUGCUAUAUAACGUCCCAGACGUCCCAAGGCUAAAUGUUUAUAGACAGAAGAGUCAUUGGAUUAAAUAAGAUUGUUAAGUUUGCUUUGUUAUUGCAGACGAACUGUCAAACCCCCGGAUGUUUUUUUUAUCGAAUACGUCGUCACAGUCGCAAAAUCAGCAACAAUCACGAAUAAACACAGGGUUCUUUUCCGUUUCGACGUCGUCUGCUUUUUUCGAUUAAAAUGCAACGUAGACACAGAACAAUCAAUUUUUUUUUCAUCCUAUCUUUAGAGGACUCCGACGUUAACAUGGAAGAUAAUGGAUAGCCAUAUGAUUGUGUGUAUAGAAGAAAAAGAAGAAGGUUACAUGAUUCGCGUAAAUAUAAUUAAUCGAUAUUUCAUUUCAUCGAGCUUAUUUUUCUCUCCCGUCAUCAGGUCCGUGCUAGAUGUCUGUUGCAAAUCAAUUAAGUAGCGAACCAGCGUUGAAUUAUUAAAAGAAAAAAAAGUAAAUUAAAGUGAUUUUCCUGGUAAUCGUUUCGAUGCAGGUCAACACGACUAGUGUGUGUCUGUGGGAUAAUUGUAGAGAAGACUUUGGAUCAUAGAAUCCAUCCGGCGCAUAGACGCUAGCACAGAAAAUGUAAACUUUAACCUAUGUAUACAGCAAAGUUUUUAAAGCUAUUGCGAUUAAA
rnacentral:lncRNA from 1 species